UGGGGAAUAUUGGACAAUGGGCGCAAGCCUGAUGCAGCGACGCCGCGUGAGGGAUGACGGCCUUAGGGUUGUAAAGCUCUUUUACCAGGGAAGAUAAUGACGGUACCUGGAGAAUAAGCCCCGGCUAACUUCGUGCCAGCAGCUGCGGUAAUACGAAGGGGGCUAGCGUUGCUCGGAAUCACUGGGCGUAAAGCGCACGUAGGUGGGUCGUUAAGUCAGGGGUGAAAUCCCGGAGCUCAACUCCGGAACUGCCUUUGAUACUGGCGACCUUGGAGUCCGGGAGAGGUGAGUGGAACUGCGAGUGUAGAGGUGAAAUUCGUAGAUAUUCGCAAGAACACCAGUGGCGAAGGCGGCUCACUGGCCCGGUACUGACACUGAGGUGCGAAAGCGUGGGGAGCAAA
rnacentral:rRNA from 1 species